rnacentral:lncRNA from 13 species
UUUAAUUUUUAUUUUUACUGCUUUUGUUUGUUUGUUUGACACUCUUUCUCUGUCACCCAGGCUGGAGUGCAAUGGCGCGAUCUUGGCUCGCUGUAAUCUCUACCUCCCAGGUUCAAGUGAUUCUCCUGCCUCAGCCUCCAGAGUAGCUGGGGGUACAGUCACAUGCCACCAUGCCAUGCCCAGGCUCAUUCUGAGGAUUAACUGAGCUAAUGCACGUAAUAGAUAUUAGCGAGAUGUAAAGUGCUCUUAUACACUCUCAGAGUAUCCUGUACUCCUGCCCUGCAGUUCCCACGCCUUCUCCUGUUUUCAUCCUCACCAAUGAGAAUUCAGCUAAUUGUUUACUCUGGGCCCGUGCCUGUCACCGACUAACCCAGGAGGCCCCUCAGAGCUGAGCCCUGCCCUUUGCCUCAUUCUUUGUAACCAGAUGCCUGCCACACACAGUAGGUGCUUCAUAAAUGCUACUGGAAUGGGAAUAUUUCUGCAUCUCUUCAGAGGGCUUGCUCAACCCCCACCCCAGCAGCAAGCCUCUUUUGACAAUGAAACCAACCCAACUCUCUCUGGUUAACCCUAAUGAACUAGCCCAGGGUAGGUUCCAAAGAGGGGAUUGUAUAUGUGGGCAAGUGUCUGCUUUAUCCUCUGUGGCUGACCCCUCUCCCUUGCCUACCAUUGUGAGUGUGUUUGUGUGUAUUCGUGUGUUUGUGUGUGUGUGUGUGUGUGUGUGUGCAGGUGCACAUGCUGCGGACCGGUGGGGCCAUCCCCAGGCCCUCCCACCAGGCCCUUCCUGA